rnacentral:rRNA from 1 species
CAAGUCGAGCGAACGGACGAGAAGCUUGCUUCUCUGAUGUUAGCGGCGGACGGGUGAGUAACACGUGGAUAACCUACCUAUAAGACUGGGAUAACUUCGGGAAACCGGAGCUAAUACCGGAUAAUAUUUUGAACCGCAUGGUUCAAAAGUGAAAGACGGUCUUGCUGUCACUUAUAGAUGGAUCCGCGCUGCAUUAGCUAGUUGGUAAGGUAACGGCUUACCAAGGCAACGAUGCAUAGCCGACCUGAGAGGGUGAUCGGCCACACUGGAACUGAGACACGGUCCAGACUCCUACGGGAGGCAGCAGUAGGGAAUCUUCCGCAAUGGGCGAAAGCCUGACGGAGCAACGCCGCGUGAGUGAUGAAGGUCUUCGGAUCGUAAAACUCUGUUAUUAGGGAAGAACAUAUGUGUAAGUAACUGUGCACAUCUUGACGGUACCUAAUCAGAAAGCCACGGCUAACUACGUGCCAGCAGCCGCGGUAAUACGUAGGUGGCAAGCGUUAUCCGGAAUUAUUGGGCGUAAAGCGCGCGUAGGCGGUUCUUUAAGUCUGAUGUGAAAGCCCACGGCUCAACCGUGGAGGGUCAUUGGAAACUGGAAAACUUGAGUGCAGAAGAGGAAAGUGGAAUUCCAUGUGUAGCGGUGAAAUGCGCAGAGAUAUGGAGGAACACCAGUGGCGAAGGCGACUUUCUGGUCUGUAACUGACGCUGAUGUGCGAAAGCGUGGGGAUCAAACAGGA